GGAGGAAUGGCCGAGCGGUCGAAGGCGGCGGUCUUGAAAACCGCAGUACCUCGCAAGGGUACCGGGGGUUCGAAUCCCUCUUCCUCCGCCA
rnacentral:tRNA from 1 species